GAUGAACGCUGGCGGCGUGCCUAAUACAUGCAAGUCGAGCGAACGGACGAGAAGCUUGCUUCUCUGAUGUUCGCGGCGGACGGGUGAGUAACACGUGGAUAACCUACCUAUAAGACUGGGAUAACUUCGGGAAACCGGAGCUAAUACCGGAUAAUAUUUUGAACCGCAUGGUUCAAAAGUGAAAGACGGUCUUGCUGUCACUUAUAGAUGGAUCCGCGCUGCAUUAGCUAGUUGGUAAGGUAACGGCUUACCAAGGCAACGAUGCAUAGCCGACCUGAGAGGGUGAUCGGCCACACUGGAACUGAGACACGGUCCAGACUCCUACGGGAGGCAGCAGUAGGGAAUCUUCCGCAAUGGGCGAAAGCCUGACGGAGCAACGCCGCGUGAGUGAUGAAGGUCUUCGGAUCGUAAAACUCUGUUAUUAGGGAAGAACAUAUGUGUAAGUAACUGUGCACAUCUUGACGGUACCUAAUCAGAAAGCCACGGCUAACUACGUG
rnacentral:rRNA from 1 species